rnacentral:misc_RNA from 1 species
GAAAUGCUCAGAGACCGAGAGGAGAAGCUGGGGGAGAGAGAGAGCCACCUGAAGCGAGCGGAGGAGCAACACCUGGAAGAGGUGAGGAACCUGAGAAGAAUACAACGCACGAGAGAGGAAGAGGUAGCCGAAGAAAGAAGGGAAUUAAAUCAAAUGUUAAGAAAUCGGGAAGAGAAGAUUACGUCCCUGAAGGAAAUGCUCAGAGACCGAGAGGAGAAGCUGGGGGAGAGAGAGAGCCACCUGAAGCGAGCGGAGGUAAGGACACGUGCAAGAGAUGAUACACACAUACAAACAUGUAUCUGUAUAUCUGUUUCUGUAUCAAUGCCUUUAUACACAUCUCUAUCAACACACACGUAAAUACUUACCUAUAUGCAAAAAACAAUUCAGAAGUACAUAAUACAUCAGAAGAAAAUAAAUAUCAUCAUGAUUAUAAUAAUCUUAAAGAUAGUAAUAAGACAUAAUGAUGAUGGUGAUAAAAAAGCCACAUGAAACUAGAAUCUAAACUGACUUCAAUUUUCCUAUAGAAAUGUCAGACUAACCUCAGCUUUAGUUGUCAGAAAAGGGCACAUGAGACCAAAACUUAAGAACUGCCCUCAAAUUUAGUGUUCAAUAGAUCAAUAGAUUGAAAAUGAACAUGGGACUUCCUCACCAGAUAACAAUAACAAUAAUAAGAAAAGAGAAUAAAAUGAGGAAGAGGAAUCCUCCACUGCUUUCAGGCUUGAUGUCCUGUGACCUUGCUCAGAAGCCGCCUCUCUUGGCGAAAUCGGGGUCAUUUCUAGACACUGACACCAUAUAGGAAAGGGCAAAGCACUGAUUUCUUUUGCUAGAUUUGAUUGCUUAGUAAGACAAAGACAGUUAGGAGUGCAAGAACGGAAGAUGAGACAUUUACAUUCUCUAUUAAGGGAUAGAGGGUUAGAGGUGGAGGAUUCAGAGG